GUCCUCCCUCCCAGAGGGCAGCCCUGCGCCCUGGCACGUUGGCAUCUGCAGCCUGUCUCGUCUCUCCCGCCUGGAGUCCUUGUGCACUGCGACGAUGCGCUGGCUUCCCAAAGCCGCAGUGGAUUGUAUAACCACACGGUGCACGCCUGGAGGACAGCGCGAGCCGGCGGUGAAGGACGACACUGGAGACCCAAAGAGAACAAGGUGUUGAAGAAUCUGGAGGAGGAAUUGACUUCUUCCUGCACCAGCGCGGG